rnacentral:rRNA from 1 species
AUACGGAGGGUGCAAGCGUUACUCGGAAUCACUGGGCGUAAAGCGCGCGCAGGCGGCUAUUUAAGUUGGAUGUGAAAACCUACGGCUCAACCGUAGAACUGCAUCCAAAACUGUCGGGCUAGAGUCUGGGAGGGGAAGAUGGAAUUAGUUGUGUAGGGGUAAAAUCCGUAGAGAUAACUAGGAAUACCAAAAGCGAAGGCGAUCUUCUGGAACAGUACUGACGCUGAGGCGCGAAAGCGUGGGUAGCAAACGGGAUUAGAAACCCUAGUAGUCC